rnacentral:misc_RNA from 1 species
CAAAAGAAAUUCUUUGUUGUUUAGCGAAUGGGCAAACUUCACAAAUAUAAUGAGUAGAAUGUUUCUUUUUUAUUUUAGGUAUAUGUGACAAUGUAGUAGGAGAGACAUGGCCAAUUCUGAGAUGCCAAAUAUUAUUGCUUGUAGUAGUUACAUUUUGAGAUAUAUGACAGGAUUUAUUUGCUAAAAAGUGCGAGGCACCUCCAUAACUCUUUAUGGCUGCAUCUUCUUUAUCUUGACAGAAUGACUUGUUGUUUAACUGGUAUAAUCCUCCUUUCACUCUUCCAAUAGCUACUACAGCCUUAAUCACUAGGUCCUGCAAAAUACAACAUUCAUGUGAAAAUUAAACAGUAAUUGGUGAGGUUUGGUUGACUCUACUUACUGAUAAUAGGUUGUAUUUGAAACUGGAAACAUAAAGAACAUUUUCUAAUCUAAGGUUUAGAUGUAAUUCUACUGUACCUAUGUGAGUUACACUUUUAGUGGUUCCAUCUGGUAGGUUUAUAGUGCUAGGGCUAGUAAUUUUGGUUAUUUUUGUAAAAGUGUUUAGGUCAUGAAACAUGUGAGUUGAAGCUUUUGUGUCUACAAUCCACAUACUGCCAUUAUUAUCAGCAGAACUAGUUUGAUAAUAACAUGAAUUUUUACCUGCAAGGCUAGUAAACUCUACACAACUUGCCUCAUUAGUAGAAGAUCCUUGCUAAUUUUUCCUAAAUUUCAUGAUCUCCUGUUGUAUGUAACUAGACAAUCCUGGAUUCAAGUUGUCAUUCUUCAAUGACCCUUCCCCUUCAAAAUCCAAAGGUGUCUCAAAAACCUGUGCAGCAGUGCCUAUUUUCUCUUUCUCCUUCUUCUGUUUAUACUCAGAGAGCCACUCUGGAUACCCGUUCAACUUAAAACAAGUCUCCUUAACAUGGCCAAUUGUGUUAAAAUAGGUACAAAACCUAUCUUCCUUCUUAUUUGAUUUUUUCUUAGAUUGAGGAUACUGAUUCUUACUGCCUCCCUUUUCAACCUGGCAUUUGUGUGUUUUCACAUUCAUUACAGUAUUGAAUUCACUAUUUGUCAUAUUAUUCACUUCUCUUUGUUUCCCUAUGCUGAGAACCAUAGAAUAUGCCUUGUUCACACUAGGAAAUGGUUGCAUCAACAAUAUUUGGUUCUUAACAUGGUCAUAUGAAUCAUUUAGGCCCUUUAAGAACUAAAUUAACCUAUCAUCAUUCUCAAUGUCAGCUAAUUGCUUUGUAGCACCACACAUGCAUGUUGUCAAAGGCUUUAAACAUGCAAGUUCAUCCCACAAUUUCUUCAUUUUUAUAAAGUAAGCCAUAAGACUCAGAUUUGAUUGAGAAAGUGAACUUAUCUCCUUUCUAAUCUGAUACAACAUUGGUCCAUUACUUUCUCUAAAUCUUUGCUUAAUCUCCUCCCACAACUCCUUUGCUGAUAUUGUAUAGAGGAAAGCCUUAACUAAAUCUUUAACCAUGGAAUUCAAGAUCCACGAGAUUACCAUGGAAUCAACUCUUUGCCACUUCUCAUAUGCAGCAAAUCCUUCUUCUGGUUUAUCACAUUUUCUAGUAAUAAACCCUAGCUUGUCUUUUGCUCUCAGGGCUAACAUCAUGGAUCUACUCCAUGGCAAGUAAUUACCUCCAGUCAGAGGUACAGUCACUAAGAUCAAUCCAGGAUGAUCUGAGUUUAGCAAAACUAGAGCAUUUUCAUCAAAUUUGCUAGCAACUUAUUGAUCUCCUCUGUGAUUGAGAUCAGAAUCAAGAUGUAAACUUGAUUCAGCCAUCCAAGAAUCAAUAACAAAUUGAAAAUUACAAUAAAAGAAGGAAAAACAGAUAAAGAUUGAGGAAGAAAACAUAUCUGAGAACCAAGGUUUUCUUAGAGAAGCAGUUAAACACGCAGGGAACGUGCUCUGAUACCAUGAACCGAGAAGCAAAUUGAAAGAAAAAGAACUGAAUUAUUUUAUUAAUUGGAGAACUUGUUUAUAUACAAGAUUUCAG